rnacentral:rRNA from 1 species
GUGGGGAAUAUUGGACAAUGGGCGAAAGCCUGAUCCAGCCAUGCCGCGUGUGUGAAGAAGGUCUUCGGAUUGUAAAGCACUUUAAGUUGUGAGGAAGGGCAGUAAGUUAAUACCUUGCUGUUUUGACGUUACCGACAGAAUAAGAACCGGCUAACUUCGUGCCAGCAGCCGCGGUAAUACGAAGGGUGCAAGCGUUAAUCGGAAUUACUGGGCGUAAAGCGCGCGUAGGUGGUUUUGUAAGUUGGAGGUGAAAUCCCCGGGCUCAACCUGGGAACUGCCUCCAAAACUGCAUGACUAGAGUACGGUAGAGGGUAGUGGAAUUUCCUGUGUAGCGGUGAAAUGCGUAGAUAUAGGAAGGAACACCAGUGGCGAAGGCGACUACCUGGACUGAUACUGACACUGAGGUGCGAAAGCGUGGGGAGCAAACAGGAUUAGAUACCCGUGUAGUCC